GACGAACGCUGGCGGCGCGCUUAACACAUGCAAGUCGAACGGAAAGGCCUGCUUUCCCUUGUGGAUUGCGGGUACUCGAGUGGCGAACGGGUGAGUAACACGUGAGUGAUCUGCCCCCAACUUGGGUAUAAGCCUGGGAAACUGGGUCUAAUUCCCGAUAGGACUGCAGGGUGGUGCCUGUGGUGGAAAACGAUUUUCUAGUGGUUGGGGAUGAGCUCGCGGCCUAUCAGCUUGUUGGUGGGGUAAUGGCCUACCAAGGCGGCGACGGGUAGCCGGCGUGAGAGGGUGGACGGAGACAUUGGGACUGGGACAAGGCCCCGACUCCUACGAGAGGCAGCAGUGGGGAAUAUUGCACCAUGGGCGGAAGCCUGAUGCAGCGACGGCGCGUGGGAGAUGACGGCCUUCGGGUUGUAAACUCCUUUCGACCGCGAGGAAGGCACCUGGUUGGAAGGGUGGUGACGGUAGUGGUAGAAGAAGCACCGGCUAACUACGUG
rnacentral:rRNA from 1 species